rnacentral:rRNA from 1 species
GACGAACGCUGGCGGCGUGCUUAACACAUGCAAGUCGAACGAAGUGGCGAACGGGUGAGUAACGCGUAAUCAACCUGCCCUUCCGAGGGGGACAACAGUUGGAAACGACUGCUAAUACCGCAUACUGAAGUAGGGGAUUGCGUCUGAUUAGCUAGUUGGGGGGGUAACGGCCAACCAAGGCGAGGAUCAGUAGCCGGUCUGAGAUGGGCAACUGCCACAUUGGGACUGAGACACGGACCAACCUGCUACGGGAGGCAGCAGUGGGGAAUCUUCCGCAAUGGACGAAAGUCUGACGGAGCAACGCCGGGUGAGUGAUGACGGCCUGCGGGUUGUAAAGCUAUGUUAAUCGGGACGCGGUACCGGAAUAGAAAGCCACGGCUAACUACGUGCCAGAAGCCGCGGUAAUUC